rnacentral:rRNA from 2 species
AGUCUGAUGGAGCAACGCCGCGUGAGUGAAGAAGGCUUUCGGGUCGUAAAACUCUGUUGUUGGAGAAGAAUGGUCGGCAGAGUAACUGUUGUCGGCGUGACGGUAUCCAACCAGAAAGCCACGGCUAACUACGUGCCAGCAGCCGCGGUAAUACGUAGGUGGCAAGCGUUAUCCGGAUGUAUUGGGCGUAAAGCGAGCGCAGGCGGUUUUUUAAGUCUGAUGUGAAAGCCCUCGGCUUAACCGAGGAAGUGCAUCGGAAACUGGGAAACUUGAGUGCAGAAGAGGACAGUGGAACUCCAUGUGUAGCGGUGAAAUGCGUAGAUAUAUGGAAGAACACCAGUGGCGAAGGCGGCUGUCUGGUCUGUAACUGACGCUGAGGCUCGAAAGCAUGGGUAGCGAACAGGAUUAGAUACCCUGGUAGUCCAUGCCGUAAACGAUGAAUGCUAGGUGUUGGAGGGUUUCCGCCCUUCAGUGCCGCAGCUAACGCAUUAAGCAUUCCGCCUGGGGAGUACGACCGCAAGGUUGAAACUCAAAGGAAUUGACGGGGGCCCGCACAAGCGGUGGAGCAUGUGGUUUAAUUCGAAGCAACGCGAAGAACCUUACCAGGUCUUGACAUCUUUUGAUCACCUGAGA